AUUUCCCCACUAGAAAGACUUUGGUCAGUGAUCAACACUCGACCAACUCCGGACCGCCAUGCAUACGCUCAACUGAGGACAGAUUUGAACCCUUCCCUGCUAGGCCCAAGGAGGAACAGAAACGAAAACGAGGGCCUACGAUGUGUUGAAAGAUGCAUGGAUUUUGGAUUCAAGUUUCUGGGAAGAGUUAUAUUUCUACACUAAUGUUUUGGAUUCAAGUUUAAUAAUGGCGUCUACCGAGUGUCGCUCUUCAUGGAUGCCACUGGUCGAUCGUUGGUUAGAACCUACCUGACAAGGAGGGUGUUUAAAGUCUGAGUUCAACAGUUAUAGUCGUUGAGGCCUUCCUGAGACCCCGGCUUUUGGUGAUGACACAAAAGAAAAUGUUGCCGUAGCAAGUGCCUUUGGCCAUAUGAUAACGGACAGGAACCCUAGAGUGGCAUGAAGGAUGUAGAAAGCAGCUUCGGGAAGAGGUUUUAUUCCAGCAUGAUAUUCAAUUACUACUACUACCUAUAAGGAACUUCCUGAGCUGGCUUAAGGAUUGUAUGGAAGAGAUUUUUAACCGACUCCGGACAGUCGUCGCGGAGAAGCUACGGCCUAUUUCUUCGAGUGCCACCUGAUCAUUUUGGUUCCCCGGCCUAACAUCUUUAAUUACUACUAUCUACGAGGACUCUUCUCAGCUGGCUUAAGGAGUGUGUGGAAGAAAGAGUUGUAACCGAUCUCCGGACAUUCGUCGAGGAGAAUCUACGGUUGUUCUAAGAAUGCCACCUGGCCAUCAAAUGCCCUGAACUACCUAUGAGGACCCUUCUCAGCUGGCUCAAGGAGUGCAUGGAAGAAAGCAGAAUUGUAUCGUAUCUCCGGACAUUCGUCGAGGGGAAUCUACGGGUUGUUUUAAGAGUGCCCAGUGGGCAUCAAGGGCACACAUUCGUCGAGGGGAAUCUACGGGUUGUUUUAAGAGUGCCCAGUGGGCAUCAAGGGCCCGGUGCGCAGUCUCCAAAAAAGUAUAACAUUUAGAUUAGUCGGCAACUGGUUAUAAUUGCUACAGAAUGGUGACGUGUCAAGCUGGAUUUUAAAAACCCUACUACUUGGAUAUUACAUUUCCUGGUUAUAAAAUAGAAAAUAAAACUUUUUUCCGUAAAGAACUUCCCUUUAUCAGCAGGUAAUGGAAACCAUUUUAGGACAUUUAAAGUACUAUCUUUUAGAUUAAUAGCAACAGUCAUAACCGAGAAACUAUUAUUUUCAAAUUUUAAAAAUCUGGGAGAGCGGCAGCCGGCUGAGACCCCCACAAAAAAAAUUAAAAUGUGAGGCGUCCAGAAAUUUUUUUUUACAGCCCCGGAGUACUGGCUUCAUAAUUAUUGAAAUGGUGUUCCGAAGUCCUGCUGCCUCUUUUAAGUCCUCUUGCUGUCCGUCUUUCUCAUUUCCUACUCUCUCUCUCUCUCUCUUUUUGAGUCCUCUUGCUGUCUCUUGAGUCCUCAUUUCCUCUCGUGCUGAACAGUAUAGAGCCGCUGUUUUCUUUCUCUCUUGCCUGCAAAAUAGGAAGAUAUCUUUAUAUUAAUAAUCUAAUGAAAAUUCAAAUUUAAUAACUGGUAUGACGUACAAAUGGGUAUUGUACAUCUUAAAAUUCUGAAGUAAUUAAGUGACAUUCAAAAAUGCCAAGUAAACAAUGCAAAUGAUCAAGGUUUUAGAAAAUUAAAAGCAAAUGAUUUGUAACAACGAAAUGACAAAAUAAUAAAGCAAAUUUUACAGAACAGGAUAAAAAAUACACAUCUUAAAGAGUUCUCUUGCUGUCUGUCUCAGUCCUCAUUUCCAGCUGUCUCAUCUCUUGAGUCCUCUUCGAGUAAUCAUUUCCUGCUGUCUCGUCUCGAAAGCCCCGUCCACACGGUCGAACUUUGCCCGACAGACUUUGUUAAUGUGACGUCAGAAGCGGGAAAAGUCAGAACUU